CAAACACUCAUACGGACUUUGGCUACACCACCAAAGCCUUGAGAAGCAAGAAGAGGCCUUGUUAGUGUUUUGGAGUCAAAUA
rnacentral:sRNA from 1 species